GGAGGAAAGUAGGGGAUCGCAAGACCUUGCGCUAAAGGAGCGGCCGAUGUCUGAUUAGCUAGUUGGUGGGGUAAAGGCUUACCAAGGCAACGAUCAGUAGUUGGUCUGAGAGGACGGCCAACCACACUGGGACUGAGACACGGCCCAGACUCCUACGGGAGGCAGCAGUGGGGAAUUUUGGACAAUGGGCGAAAGCCUGAUCCAGCCAUGCCGCGUGAGUGAAGAAGGCCUUCGGGUUGUAAAGCUCUUUUAGUCGGAAAGAAAGAGUUGCAAUGAAUAAUUGUGAUUUAUGACGGUACCGACAGAAAAAGCACCGGCUAACUACGUGCCAGCAGCCGCGGUAAUACGUAGGGUGCGAGCGUUAAUCGGGAUUACUGGGCGUAAAGGGUGCGCAGGCGGUCUUGCAAGUCAGAUGUGAAAGCCCCGGGCUUAACCUGGGAAUUGCGUUUGAAACUACAAGGCUAG
rnacentral:rRNA from 1 species